GAGUACUUCAACAACUCAGGGUUGCAGAGAUGGAAGAAGAUGUACUGCGAGACAGAUGAUGUCAAAGACAUCAUUCUUCGUGAAAAUGUUGUAAAAAACUUGUAAAAAAAAAAAAAAAAUUGUUGUUUUGGGUGAUUCACCAUAAGAAAGGCCUCGUUCUUCGUGAUUCUCUUCUUCUUCUCUCUCUUUCUCUCUUCAGAGUCCCGCAAUUUGCGUUGAUUUUUUUUUUUUUUUUGUACGCAUCGCAUUGCGUCUUGGCUCCAUUUCUCAGGCCUUCAUUUUUGCUGUCGCCAUUGCCGAGCUCUCUCUUUCUCUGCAGGUGAUUAUCUUCUUUUGAAUUGAUGUCUCUUUACUCUUUUUCAAGGCAUUUACUGGAGUUUUUUAUGCACCCGUGGCCGCUGAGAAUUGACUGACCACAAAAGCGACGUCGAUGAAUCUCAUUGGACGUCCAAAUUCAUCUGUCUUCUUUCAAUUCUCAGCAGCAUCCAAACAACCUCUUCUUUUCCACUGAAGAUCGUGUAUAUAUGUACGUGUGUCCACAACUUUGAAGGCACUGUCGAAUUCUCUAAUCCGGCAUUUGGAGCUGGUCACCAAUCGUGAGUCAGUUUGCUUUUGAACAUACAGAUUCACAAGAUCGACCAAUUUGUAAGGAUGAAUAAGCAAAUUGUUAACAGCUCUGAUUCCAUUGAAGAGAGAGGAAUAGACUUC
rnacentral:lncRNA from 1 species